rnacentral:lncRNA from 1 species
CCCUAAUUUUGUUCCAGCCGCAUUCACCCUCUCUUCCAACCACACCAUCUCUUCCAGCCGCAUUCACCCUCUCUUAUCUGUGUCGAACAUCGCCAUCCUCCUCCGCUCCAAUCCCCACUGCUCUUCAUCCAGAUAUCCGCUCUUUCACCUCUGCAAAACCCUCUUCGAAAUUGUUACUAUGUUUUCUGUGUAUAGGGCUUUGUAUUGGUACGCAUCAGAUAUGGGAGCAGCACAAGCGAUGAAGAGAAUUCCACGGAUCAAGUUUGAACAGCGUCAUUUGAAGCCUUCUGGUUAAAUAAUGGAACCUACGGAUAUCACCUUUCUGAACCACCUUGAUGUUUCACACGACAACUACACACUCAAAGUUCGCAUUAUCAAACUAUGGAGGCAACCUUCGUUUAAGGUCCCUGGGGAAACAUAUGCAAUCGAGAUGAUGCUUAUGGAUGAGGAGGGCAAUAAGAUCCAAGCAACUGUAAUGAACAAGUACUUGGUUAAGUUUAAAAAGCUGCUGGAAGAGAAUGUUUGUCUACUGAUCAAGAAACCCUCCUUAGGUGACAAUACGUCAUCAUACAAGUGAUUCAAUAUCUGGUACCGGUGAGAAUGAAACGCCUUUAUCAGUUUCGGACAUAAGCACCGGAAGGAGUUUAUUGCAAAAUGAAAACACAAAAAAGACAAUCAUCUAUGGCGAAUUAAAGCGUAACUUGGUUGAGGUGUACGACCUUGACGAAUCCCCCGGUCGAUCAGCAACUAAACCCCGUCAAGAUCCUACUGAAGGUCUGAAAAGAGAUUUCGAGCCAACUCUCUUGGUUCCAAAGAUCGAAAAAUAAUUAUGUUUUCCAAUUCUGAAGUUUUAAAUUUGGUUGUUUUUUAAGUUAUCAUCGUAUUUGCGU